GACGAACGCUGGCGGCGUGCUUAACACAUGCAAGUCGAACGGAAAGGCCCUGCUUUUGUGGGGUGCUCGAGUGGCGAACGGGUGAGUAACACGUGAGUAACCUGCCCUUGACUUUGGGAUAACUUCAGGAAACUGGGGCUAAUACCGGAUAGGAGCUCCUGCUGUAUGGUGGGGGUUGGAAAGUUUCGGUGGUUGGGGAUGGACUCGCGGCUCAUCAGCUUGUUGGUGGGGUAGUGGAUUACCAAGGCUUUGACGGGUAGCCGGCCUGAGGGGGUGACCGGCCACAUUGGGACGGAAAUACGGCCCAGACUAGUACGGGAGGCAGCAGUGGGGAAUAUUGCACAAUGGGCGGAAGCCUGAUGCAGCCACGCCGCGUGGGGGAUGACGGCCUUCGGGUUGUAAACCGCUUUCGCCUGUGACGAAGCGUGAGUGACGGUAAUGGGUAAAGAAGCACCGGCUAACUACGUG
rnacentral:rRNA from 1 species